UGGGGAAUUUUGGACAAUGGGGGCAACCCUGAUCCAGCCAUGCCGCGUGAGUGAAGAAGGCCUUCGGGUUGUAAAGCUCUUUCGGCCGGGAAGAAAUCGCGCCAGCUAAUACCUGGUGUGGAUGACGGUACCGGAAGAAGAGGCGCCGGCUAACUACGUGCCAGCAGCCGCGGUAAUACGUAGGGUGCGAGCGUUAAUCGGAAUUACUGGGCGUAAAGCGUGCGCAGGCGGCUCUAUAAGACAGAUGUGAAAUCCCCGGGCUUAACCUGGGAACUGCGUUUGUGACUGUAGGGCUUGAGUGCGGCAGAGGGGGGUGGAAUUCCAGUGUAGCAGUGAAAUGCGUAGAGAUGUGGAGGAACACCGAUGGCGAAGGCAGCCCCCUGGGUCGACACUGACGCUCAU
rnacentral:rRNA from 1 species